rnacentral:rRNA from 1 species
CGAGGGGUCCAAGCGUUGUUCGGAAUCAUUGGGCGUAAAGCGGGUGUAGGUGGCUCUGUAAGUCAGGAGUGAAAGCCCCAGGCUUAACUUGGGAAGUGCUUUUGAUACUGCAGAGCUUGAAUGUGGGAGAGGAUCGUGGAAUUCCAGGUGUAGUGGUGAAAUACGUAGAUAUCUGGAGGAACACCGGUGGCGAAGGCGGCGAUCUGGCCCAACAUUGACACUGAGACCCGAAAGCGCGGGGAUCAAACAGGAUUAGAUACCCUGGUAGUCCGCGCCAUAAACGAUGGAUACUUGGUGUUGGAGGUAUUGACCCCUUCAGUGCCGAAGCUAACGCGUUAAGUAUCCCGCCUGGGGAGUACGGCCGCAAGGUUA